rnacentral:tRNA from 1 species
CUCGCUUUGGCCGAGUCGUUAAGGUGUGUGCCCUCUAAGUACAUGGUGUUUCCCCGCGAGAGUUCGAAUCUCUCAGGCGAUG